UCCCCUGUAGCUCAGUUGGUAGAGCGACGGACUGUUAAUCCGUUUGUCGCUGGUUCGAGUCCAGCCGGGGGAG
rnacentral:tRNA from 1 species